rnacentral:rRNA from 1 species
UACGGGGGGAGCAAGCGUUGUUCGGAUUUACUGGGCGUAAAGGGCGCGUAGGCGGCCUGUGCAAGUCAGUUGUGAAAUCUCCGGGCUUAACUCGGAACGGUCAACUGAUACUGCUCGGCUAGAGUGCGGAAGGGGCAACUGGAAUUCUUGGUGUAGCGGUGAAAUGCGUAGAUAUCCGGAAGAACACCAGUGGCGAAGGCGACUUACUGGACACAUAUUGACGCUGAGGUGCGAAAGCGUGGGGAGCAAACAGG